GCGGAGGAAAAGAAACCAACAGGGAUUGCCCUAGUAACGGCGAGUGAAGCGGCAACAGCUCAAAUUUGAAAUCUGGCUUCGGCCCGAGUUGUAAUUUGCAGAGGAAGCUUUAGGCGCGGCACCUCCUGAGUCCCCUGGAACGGGGCGCCACAGAGGGUGAGAGCCCCGUAUAGUUGGAUGCCUAGCCUGUGUAAAGCUCCUUCGACGAGUCGAGUAGUUUGGGAAUGCUGCUCAAAAUGGGAGGUAAAUUUCUUCUAAAGCUAAAUACCGGCCAGAGACCGAUAGCGCACAAGUAGAGUGAUCGAAAGAUGAAAAGCACUUUGAAAAGAGGGUUAAAUAGCACGUGAAAUUGUUGAAAGGGAAGCGCUUGUGACCAGACUUGCGCCGGGCUGAUCAUCCGGUGUUCUCACCGGUGCACUCUGCCCGGCUCAGGCCAGCAUCGGUUCUCGCGGGGGGAUAAAGGCCCUGGGAACGUAGCUCCUCCGGGAGUGUUAUAGCCCGGGGCGUAAUGCCCUCGCGGGGACCGAGGUUCGCGCUCUGCAAGGAUGCUGGCGUAAUGGUCAUCAGCGACCCGUCUUGAAACACGGACCAAGGAGUCAAGGUUUUGCGCGAGUGUUUGGGUGUAAAACCCGCACGCGUAAUGAAAGUGAACGUAGGUGAGAGCUUCGGCGCAUCAUCGACCGAUCCUGAUGUUCUCGGAUGGAUUUGAGUAGGAGCGUUAAGCCUUGGACCCGAAAGAUGGUGAACUAUGCUUGGAUAGGGUGAAGCCAGAGGAAACUCUGGUGGAGGCUCGCAGCGGUUCUGACGUGCAAAUCGAUCGUCAAAUCUGAGCAUGGGGGCGAAAGACUAAUCGAACCAUCUAGUAGCUGGUUACCGCCGAUUUUCCCUCU
rnacentral:rRNA from 1 species